AUGCAGAUCUUCGUCAAGACCCUGACCGGGAAGACCAUCACGCUCGAGGUCGAGAGCAGCGACACCAUCGACAACGUCAAGGCCAAGAUUCAGGACAAGGAAGGGAUCCCUCCGGACCAGCAGCGGCUCAUCUUCGCGGGGAAGCAGCUGGAGGAGGGGCGCACCUUGGCCGACUACAACAUCCAGAAGGAGUCGACGCUGCACCUGGUGCUCCGUCUCCGCGGCGGCACCAGGGGAGGCUACCUAAACGUGGAACCAAAUCUCCUGCAGCUCGCGCUCAAGUACAACGAGAAGAAGAUGGUCUGCCGCAAGUGCUACGCUCGGCUUCCCCUGAGGUCCACCAACUGCCGCAAGAAGAAGUGCGGCCACAGCAACGAGCUGAGGCCCAAGAAGAGGUUCGUCAACAAGCUUUCCAACUGA
rnacentral:rRNA from 1 species